UACAGAGGGGGCAAGCGUUGUUCGGAAUUAUUGGGCGUAAAGGGCGCGUAGGCGGUGCGGUAAGUCUUUUGUGAAAUCUCCGGGCUCAACUCGGAGUCUGCAGGAGAAACUGCCGUGCUCGAGUGUGGGAGAGGUGAGUGAAAUUCCCGGUGUAGCGGUGAAAUGCGUAGAGAUCCGGAGGAACACCGACGGCGAAGGCAGCGCCCUGGACGAGAUCUGACGCUCAGGCACGAAAGCUGGGGGAGCAAACAGG
rnacentral:rRNA from 1 species